CCAGAGGGCCUCACCCCACACAUGUGGGAGCUCAGCAGGUUGUGGGCAGGCUCUAACCCAAUGACAAGUCUUUAGAAGAGAAGAGAGGGAAAAAUAGACAGAAACACACCAAGGAGAAGACAAUGUGAAGACAGAGGCAGAUAUUGGAGUGAUGCAUCUACAGGCCAAGGAAUGCCAAGAAUUGCCAGCAGCCACCAGAAGCCAGGAGAUAACAGAUUCUCUGUUCGAGCCUCCAGAAGGAUCCAAUGCAGCUGACACCUUGAUUUCAGACUUCUGGCCUCCAGAACUGUGAGAAUAAAUAUCUGAUGUUUUAAACUACCAAUUUGUUAUGGCAGCCUUAGAAAACUAACACAUUGCUGCUCAUGUACUUGACUGGAAAAGCCCUGAACUAUUUAACCAACUAUCUCCUUAUUCCUCUUUCACAUGUCCUGUUUCUCCAAAUUAGUUAAUCUCAAUUCCAAAGCUUCAGUCCAAGCCACAAUCAUCUCUCUCCAAGACUGUGACAACGGCCUCUUGAUUGAUUAGGAGCCCUGCCCCUAGAACCUAGAGUAUUAAUCUGACCGUGUCACUUACUUUCUGAACUCCUCUACAUCCCCCAACACAUACAAACAUAUACAGUCCUUUUUGUUACACCUGGAGAGAAAUUCAGACUCUGCGCUAUGGUUCUGCAAGACCCUGCCAACCUGUAAUGGUCAGAGAGCAUUAACUGCUGUAAUAAAUUUGCCCAAUAACUAACUAUGGCUCAAAUGGUGUAGAUCUUUAUUUCUUGCUCACAUAACAACAUACAGUCAUUCAGGGAUAUAGGCUGACUGUCAUCUCCUACACGAGUCUGUCUUUCAAAGUCACCCUUGGGGUCAUUUCCAUUUCGACUAGCUGGAGGAGAAAACACAGAGAGAAGUACAUAUGAGUGUUUUUUAUGUGCAGAAACGGGUAUCACUUCUGUUAAUAUUGCACUGGCUG
rnacentral:lncRNA from 1 species